AUCGUUGAGUGCAAAUGAAGGCGAUCUUCUGUGAGCAACUUUCAUAUAUUCGCGUAACCUUACUGGAAAACUAACAUCUCUAAGUUGAAGAAGAUAGGUAUCUGGUCCAUAUUGGUAGCUGCAAUUAAGAAUAAUACACUCGUUAUAUCUUACAUUUAUAUUUCGUAUUCAUAUGUGUACUGAAUGAAAAAAAGGCUGGUACCGAGGUAAAAAAAGAACAAUAAAGUUUGCAGUGUCAAGAGUUUGAAUAGAACCAGGUGAUCAUUACUCACAUUGAAUAGUUAAUCCACUCAAGAGAAAAAAUUCAAAGAAAUCAUUUUAUGCUGAUCUGCCAUCGAUAUCCACAUACAGAAAAAAAUCUUGUACCUUUGAUGGAAAAUCAACAACUCUCUCAGAACAGCCAUCCAUCACAGAUGACGAGCUGAUCACUGACACGAUUUUGAAUUUCCUUAUCAGCGAGAUACAUUUAAAGGUACAAUAUUAUGGGACGUUACCAAGGAAAGUAUACUGUAAGCAUGAUAAUGAUGGCAUUAUAUAAUAUAAUAUUAUAUUUGGGUGUUAAUAAUAUAAAAUUCUACGGAAUAUGACAGGAAAAGUAAAACUGUUAAUUCUUAAACAUUUAGAUUCAAUUUUAAAAUGUCUACUGUAAGAAUGAUCCUAAAUGGAUGAUGGGUAUCUUUUAAUAAAUUAUUUUUAAGUAAAAA